GCCAGUUGGGUAUGCUUGGCAGAGGCUUGAGGGGCUCUUGAGUUUGGGAGUUUUGAACUACAGUGGGCUAGGCUAAUUUGGCUUCCACACCAAAUCUGGUAUUAAUAUGGUUAAGACCUCAGGAACAGGGAGCCACUGGGUUGCUAAGGAGGGGAGAACUGGCCCAGGUCAGAAAUGGAGCAAGUCAUGGCUCCUGUGCUGAUCGGUGAUAGGACUGCACCCAUAAGUAGCCUCUGUAUUUCCAUACUGGGUGAGAUAGGGAGACUCACUCUUC
rnacentral:SRP_RNA from 1 species